GGGUCACUAGGCUGGUCGUGCCACCGGUACGUACUGGUCUCAGAGAUUCCUCCUUCCUGAAGAACCGUAAUGCCAUUAAUUUGGUGUUGCGGGGAAACAGGACUGUUACUUUGAAAAAAUUAGAGUGUUUAAAGCAAGCUAACGCUUGAAUACAUUAGCAUGGAAUAAUGAAAUAGGACGAUCGAUCCUAUUUUGUUGGUUUCUAGGAUUGACGUA
rnacentral:rRNA from 1 species